GCUAGCCUAUUAGGGGUUGCACCCUCAACCAUAUAAACCAUGCUUUCCCACCCUCACCACACAAUGUGGGACUAUUCCCAACAGUCUCCCAUCACACAUUGUGAGCCGAGAUUUGUCUGAGAAUGCACUGGGCCAACCUGCCUCUGAUACCAAUUGUUGGAACCGGACCGCCGACACAUGGCGUGUCCGUCAGGGCCGCCCGCACACACGGCGCGCCCACCCAGGCUGUCGGGCCGCGACACACGCGCCCGCACAUAUAGCAACGGGCUUUAGGUCUCUUGGGCCAACACUCCCCCAAAAAGCUAGCCUGUUAGGGGUUGCACCCUCAACCAUAUAAACCAUGCUUUCCCACCCUCGCCACACAAUGUGGGACUAUUCCCAACAAUCUCCCCCUCACACAUUAUGAGCCGAGAUUUGUCUGAGAAUGCACUGGGCCAACCUGCCUCUGAUACCAAUUGUUGGAACCGGACCGCCGACACAUGGCGUGUCCGUCGGGGCCGCCCGCACACACGGCGCGCCCACCCAGGCUGUCGGGCCGCGACACACGCGCCCGCACGUAUAGCAA
rnacentral:lncRNA from 1 species